GACGAACCGUCCUAACGUUGUUCGGAAUCACUGGGCUUAAAGGGCGCGUAGGCGGGUCAGCAAGUCCGGGGUGAAAUCUUUCGGCUUAACCGGAAAGUGCCUUGGAUACUGCUGGUCUAGAGGGAGGUAGGGCAUGUGGAACUUCCGGUGGAGCGGUGAAAUGCGUUGAUAUCGGAAGGAACGCCGGUGGCGAAGCGACGUGCUGGAUCUCUUCUGACGCUGAGGCGCGAAAGCCAGGGAGCAAACGGG
rnacentral:rRNA from 1 species